rnacentral:rRNA from 1 species
AAGAAACCAACAGGGAUUGCCUCAGUAACGGCGAGUGAAGCGGCAACAGCUCAAAUUUUAAAGCUGGCGUCUUUGGCGUCCGCGUUGUAAUUUGGAGAGGCAUCUUCGGUUUGGGCGCCAGCCUAUGUUCCUUGGAACAGGACGUCACAGAGGGUGAGAAUCCCGUGCCUGGCUGGCUGUCCCUUUCCAUGUGAAGUGCCUUCGACGAGUCGAGUUGUUUGGGAAUGCAGCUCAAAAUGGGUGGUAAAUUUCAUCUAAAGCUAAAUAUUGGCGGGAGACCGAUAGCGCACAAGUAGAGUGAUCGAAAGAUGAAAAGCACUUUGAAAAUAGAGUUAAAAAGUACGUGAAAUUGUUGAAAGGGAAGCGCUUGAGACCAGACUCGGCCGGAGAUGAUCAGCCGUCCUUCUGGGCGGUGCACUCGUUUCCGGCCGGGCCAGCAUCGGUUGAGACGGCGGGAUAAAGGCCCGGGGAAUGUGGCUCCUUUCGGGGAGUGUUAUAGCCCCGGGCGCAAUGCCGCCAGCCUCGACCGAGGACCGCGCUUAAUUGCCAGGAUGCUGGCGUAAUGGUCUUCAGCGACCCGU